GAAUGACCACACCCUGCACCUCUCCCCGGAAGCUCAGCUUCUCGGGAAUGGUGAUUUCAAACGAGUCAAACUCCCCUUGAGGGUGAAAAAUUACAUCUUCGCCAAGAGAGUUAAGAAGGAGCACUGUCGGAACCAGUACAAGGAGCAAUCGGCAUUGGGAGAGUAAGAUCUGCGCUGACCUCAUGGUCUGUUCCCUACUCAGCCUCAGUUUGCUAUUCAGUCCUUGCAACUUGGGCCUCGCGAGUCAGACUUCUGGGGGCCGCCGCUAGAGGCGCCGGAGCGCAAAACCCGGCUCCCCUGGCAGGGUUUCUUGGGGAUCCCCUUGCCUCCCAGGGCUCGGUCUAGCUGGCGUCCCCAGUGCGCGCGUGCCCUGUCCAACGCAUCCAGUUCGUUUUCUGGGCCGUACCGUUGGGCGCAGAUGGAAGAAAGGAGGGAAACCGUGGGCGAGAAUGAAAGAGAAAAGUGGGACUGUUGGCACGUGGGAUGGAGAGAGGAAAGCAUGGCCUUAGGGCUGAUAAUAAACAGUGCUUAUGGAAGACUGGCUUCUUUCAUGCUACACACCCUGCUAUGCUCUGCAUAAAUCAGCCCAUUAAAUCUUCACAAUGACCCUAGGUUGUAGGUACUACUAUUAUCACCCAUACUUUGCACGUGAGGACGUGAAAACUGUACCAUGGUUCAGAAGGUGGUGUCGGCUGAAGCAAUCCCUGUGAACAUUUAGGCAACUCUACCCAGAACCUGUGUUCUUUUCCAGUCAACUCUGUUGUCUCUUUGGGGAAGGACAGAAGUUGACAGCUUCAACAGAUUUAAAACCACUUAGACUGUCCUGGACUUAAUGCUUGAAUGGAUUCUCCCAGAAUGAAAGAGGCAAAAAUGAGAAAGAAUGUUGAUGUUUCUGGCUUAGGUGUAUGUGUGUGUGUCAUGGCUCUAACCACUCAAAGAAGAAAAACGUCAGAACAAAUAGAUUUAGAUAAAGCAAAGAAAUAUGACAAGCUCUGCUUGCAAAAUGUAGAUUUCCAGGUGCCAGUAAAGGAGCACUGAAGAAGGGAUUUCUCAACUGCAGUCAGAUGAGUAGGCAGCUUCCUCUGGGCUGAGAUGCCUGAGUUAGAGCUGAACUGGAGUCCUCUGCUCAGUGGUGCUGAUUGAAGCCAUGAAAGAAGAUGAUGACGCCUCAUGGGAUGGUGAGGAAUGAGCAGAGAAAGACCAGGUUGGAGCGCUCAGAAAUAGUAGGAUUUAAGGUCAGGCUGAAGGAAAGAAGCUUGCAAUGACCUGUGAAGGAGUGGAUAUUGACAUAAAAAGAAAGGCAGGAUAACAGGUGAUUGCAGAAGCACUUCAUGAACGAUGUCAUGACCAACAGGUGAAACGCUGAGGAAAGUUCCAGAAACACUGCAAUGAGCACAAAGGAGGUCAUAGAAACUUUAGUGCACCCUGUUUCGGGGAACUGCUGAUGAGCAAAGCCACAUACCAGGAGGUUGGAAUGUAAAUUGGAGGUUAGAAAGAGGAGAUCACAGACCUAGACUGCACUUUCAAUAAAUUGGGUGAAGGAGAGAGAAAAGGUAAGAAAGUAGCUUGGGAACCAUGUGGUAGAAAGAGGGCUUGUUAGAGGAAAGAGUCCCUGCUGGAGCCUUGCUCAGCCUCCGGCAGAGGUUGGGUGAUGACGCAGUGAGAUCCUCCUUGGGGGCAGCAGAGCAGGAGGCAGGGGUGGAGCAGACAGCAGGGUAGCAGGCAGUGAAGCUAUGAGUGCAGUGAGAAAAUAAGGGAGAGCUAGUCAGAAGGCUUCGGCUUUCUCUGUGACGUCAGCUGCUGGGAGCGUAGGGGUGACAGAGCUGAAAGAGAUGAAGAAGAGAGCUCAGGAGACAGUGGACUAGGGAAAAACAAAAGUAUCACCAAGUGUGUUGAGGGCCUAAUUCAGGUUGGAAACCAGAAAUUGCAGUUUCCUAUCUGUAAAUUAAUUUGAUUUUCUCAAGCAACACCCAGCAGCCUAAAUUGGGGAGGGCAAUUGGAGUAUAUCUUCUGGAUCUAUUCUAUUUAAUCAAAUCAUCAUUUUCAUCUCUGUACCAUUUUUCUUUGGGCUGUUAUAGAAUUUCUUGAAGAAAAACACUAAUUGAUCAAUUCCCACUGCUACAAUACAAUCUGUGUUGCUUUGUCUUAUGGAAAUUAUACAUGUGUAUCACAAAGGAUAUGAAUAACCCUGAAUGAUAAUAGAGUAACAAAUGAAAGCCUCCAUUAUCCUCCAACCCUGCAUGCUUGUCUAAUAC
ensembl:lncRNA